rnacentral:lncRNA from 1 species
CAAGAAACUUGAUGGGUUGAACACCCUUCUUUAUCUCCUGACAUCUCACCCUCAUAUGAUACUGUUUACAUAUGAUACUGUUGUGAUUUAACUGAUUCUUAGCAAGUGUUUUAAAAUACCAAAGAAUUCAUAUUCUGAGACUCAAACUGAAAAUUGGAAGUGAAUGUGAAUUAACAGUCAGGACUAUUGAAUACCUUUAAACUAAUAGGAAGAAUCAUUUGGAUAUAAACAUCUAUCCCGGUUGCU